UAAAACAUGUUUUAAAAAUAACAACCUAUAAAAUUUUGUGUUAUUUUACAGUCACGCUAAGCAUUUCCUUCGUAUUUAUGGAGAAUCAUUUUAGUUAUGGAGAUGACUUGAGUCUAAUGAUUGGCAAUGUUGCAUGAUUACUCAGCAUGUAGAAAUCAAGCACAAACUGCAACAGGGAAGGAGCAGAGGGGAACAGAGACCUGUUCAGGUUCCUGCAGGUCCUCCACCUUUCUCUCAGUUCUCGUGUGUGUAGCCAGCAGUCUUACACCCAGAACUACUGUUCUUACUGCCUUCCUCUUCCCAGUGAGAAUUGCCUGUUGCCACCUGAAAUAAAAAUGUAACCUCUGCUACAAAGGCCAUACUGAGGUGUCAAAUAUAUGAUGACAGGCCACGUGUGGAAGGCAAAGAUAGAUGCAGGGCCCAUCUAAAGAGGAAGCUGAAGAGUUUUGCAUGGUACAAGUGUGUUGGUCAGUGCAAAGCUCCUCUGCUUCAAGAAAUGUUGCUUGGUCUCAAGGAUGAGACAGGUGCUUCGAAAGCUGGAUUCCUGUUGUAAUGCCUGAAGAGUCAAGAUAAAACCAAGGAGACACAUACACUAUUGGAUUCUUGUUGACUGCACGAGAACAUUAUCUUUACUUGGCUUUGUGAUUAAAUCAUUCUGGGGAUGGGGAUGCUGUCGCUGAAAAAGCACCUGUUAUAAACUACAUUUGAAAGGUAAUAAAAUUGAUAUUAUCAGUUGAA